rnacentral:lncRNA from 1 species
CAGGCACUGACUUCCCAAAGCCAGUAAGCUUGGUUCUUCCUUUGAUGUAUAGUUUUUCCAAUGUACGUAGUUUACCAGGCUCAAGCAAUGAUGGAAGUUCUGCUUCAGGGAAACACUGCAGGUCCAGUUUCACCAACUUCUUGGGAAGGUGGCUUGGAACUGGAUCUUUCUUUGGAAACUUGUGAAGCUCUGGUUCUGUGACUGGGCUAUUACCAAGGAGUGUCACCGUUCUGAAGAAUUCUUUUACUGGUCCAGCAGUUGGUUUGUCUUUGUUGUGUUCAUUAAUACCUCCCCAGGCCACUUUCAGCUUUUCCAGGUUGGAGAAGUCCUGAAUGUCCACAAACAGUUGAAAAACCGUGAAGUCGCCACCUUUGUUUAUAGCAAUGCUUAGCUUUCUCAGCUUCUUCAAGUGCUUCAGCUCAGCCAGCAGUACCAUCACAGGGGCAGAAACUAACUUGAGGGCUCUGAUACUUGUCCAAGAACUCCAGUUUUGGAAAGUAUAGUUCCCUCAGCUCCCUCCACUCCACUUUUAGCCUGGGAAGGAACUUCAGACGCAAAACCUUGACACUGCACUCUGUUGGCUUCUCAGGCACUGACUUCCCAAAGCCAGUAAGCUUGGUUCUUCCUUUGAUGUAUAGUUUUUCCAAUGUACGUAGUUUACCAGGCUCAAGCAAUGAUGGAAGUUCUGCUUCAGGGAAACACUGCAGGUCCAGUUUCACCAACUUCUUGGGAAGGUGGCUUGGAACUGGAUCUUUCUUUGGAAACUUGUGAAGCUCUGGUUCUGUGACUGGGCUAUUACCAAGGAGUGUCACCGUUCUGAAGAAUUCUUUUACUGGUCCAGCAGUUGGUUUGUCUUUGUUGUGUUCAUUAAUACCUCCCCAGGCCACUUUCAGCUUUUCCAGGUUGGAGAAGUCCUGAAU